AUGGCGGCCGCGCCUCCCCAGCCCACCGUGCCCGCCCCCGCCCCCACGAGCAGCGGCGACGCGUUCCGCCUGGGCUUCGUCGGCGCGGGGAACCUAGCCGAGAGUAUCGCGCGGGGCAUCACGGCGUCGGGCGUCCUCCCGGCCUCCGCCGUCCGCACCGCGCCCCACCACCGCCUCGAGUGCGGCGCCGCCUUCGCCUCCCUCGGAGCCACCAUCCUCGCAUCCAACGCCCAGGUUGUCGACGAUAGCGAUGUGAUCGUCAUCUCCGUCAAGCCCCAGAUUGUGAAGCAGGUUCUGGUUGAGCUCAAGCCCUUGUUGUCUGAAGAAAAGCUUCUGAUCUCCAUUGCCGCUGGCAUCAAAAUGAAAGAUUUGCAGUAUUAUGAAAUAUCAGAGCUAUUCUGUUCUAGCCCUCCUAUCUUUAAUUCCUGGCUGCUGGACUACCUGCAGGACAACGAGUUCAUCUGCGGAAGCUAUCGCUGUGAGCAGUCCGUCUACGACGCGCUCCGUAGCGUCUUUGUCGGGCAUAUCGAGAUCCUCAACGUCUGGAAGGAUAAAGUGAAGAAAAAUAAGAAAAGAUUACUAGAAGAUUAG
rnacentral:rRNA from 1 species